rfam:Oryza rufipogon genomic scaffold, chr02
AAAAAGUCAAACCCUAAAUUUCCGUGUCCAAUUUUGAUUGUGUGUCUUAUAUGAAAUUUUUUUAUAAUUCAUAUUUUCAUUGUUGUUAGAUGAUAAAACAUGAUUAAUAUUUUAUACGUGACUUGCGUGACUUGUUCUUUUUAAUUUUUUCAUAAUUUUUUCAAAUAAGACGGACGGUCAAACGUUGGGCACGGAAACCAGAGUUUGUCUUUUUU